AUUCCAGCUCCAAUAGCGUAUAUUAAAGUUGUUGCAGUUAAAAAGCUCGUAGUUGAAUUUCUGUCUAGAAUUACCCGUGCAACUUGUUGUCUACGUGGUGCAAUCUAGACAUUUCUCCAGAGAACGUCACUGUACUUCACUGUAUGGUACGGUAUCUGGAACUUUUACUUUGAGAAAAUAGAGUGUUUCAAGCAAGCAUAUGCUUUGAAUACUGCAGCAUGGAAUAAUUUUAUAAGACUUUGGUCUUAUUUUGUUGGUUUCUAAGACUGAAGUAAUGAUUGAUAGGGACAGUUGGGGGCAUUCGUAUUUAACUGUCAGAGGUGAAAUUCUUGGAUUUGUUAAAGACGAACUACUGCGAAAGCAUUUGCCAGGGAUGUUUUCAUUG
rnacentral:rRNA from 1 species